UACGUAGGGUGCAGGCGUUAAUCGGAAUUACUGGGCGUAAAGCGUGCGCAGGCGGUUUGCUAAGACAGGUGUGAAAUCCCCGGGCUUAACCUGGGAACUGCGCUUGUUACUGGCAGGCUUGAGUGUGGCAGAGGGGGGUGGAAUUCCACGUGUAGCAGUGAAAUGCGUAGAGAUGUGGAGGAACACCGAUGGCGAAGGCAGCCCCCUGGGCUAACACUGACGCUCAUGCACGAAAGCGUGGGGUGCAAACAGG
rnacentral:rRNA from 1 species